GGGCGUGUGGCUCAGUUGGUAGAGCGUUCGCUUAGCAUCCUGUACGAGUCUCCUGUCUAAUCAGGGUUCGGUCAGUGUAUGCGAAAGGUCCUGGGUUCGAUUCCCAGCUCGUCCA